rnacentral:tRNA from 3 species
UGGGCGUGUAGCUCAGUCGGUAGAGCACUUGACUUUUAAUCAAGUUGUCCCGGGUUCGAAUCCCGGCACGCUCAUC